UUCUUUCAAUCUUCAGCCUCUAUAUAUACUCCAAGGAUUAGGGUUGAGCAAUGCAUGGGAAAUGCUACCGUUGGAGGGCAGUUCUGGAAAAUCCAGCUUCUGCUGUGGCUGAGAACGUUAGGUAGGUCGUCAGGAAGGUACACUUGCUUUUGUACUUGGAUAGCGACUUGACCUUUUAACCUAGGAGACUUCUGAUCAGAGGAAUGCUUCGUAUUGGAACUUGUGAAGCCGGUUGAUCAGAGUCAGAGGGAAAGCACAGAUCCUCUGACCAUUGUUUCUUCUGAUUCUGAACUCAGAGGGAAGAACAUGGCCUUCAGAGUUUCUUGCUUCUGGACUUCAGAGUUUCCACUAUUCAGCUUCUGGAUCUUCAGAGUCUUCUACACCAUCAGAACAUCUGAACCUUCAGUGUUUCUUGGUUAUCAGAACUUCUGGAUCUUCAGAGCUUCUAGUGAUUGAGUCCUCAUCAGAGUUUGUAUAACUUCAGAACUUCUGAAGCUUUUCCACUGUUCAUACUGAACAUAGUGAAUGCGAAAGCGUUGCUUGGGUCACUCUUUGUACACAGUGCUUCUGAUUUGUGUGAGAUUGAGUUGAGGUCAGAGCCUGUAAAUAGCACACUCAGAAAAACACGUUAGAGUACCACAAUUGUUCAUAUCAAAAGGUUAACUUGUAAUCAUCAAAACAUAGAGUUGUACUACUAGAUCAAAACUUGAUCUUACAAUCUCCCCCUUUUUGAUGAUGACAAAACUAAGAUUUUUGAUGAACAAUUCUUAAACAUUAAACUGAAUUCACUCAGAGUUUAGAGAUAUAGAAUAAUACUUAUCCUGAUGUGAAUAGUUUAUCUUGCUCAUUCUGCAUUCAAGUCACUGCUUGAUUCUGAGCUUAGCUCCCCCUGAAUCUAAUACUUGAUGAAAACGUUAGUAAAGUCUAGAUUCUGAGCUAAAUAAUAUAAGAGUUCAGAGUGAAAAACUUAUGACAUAGAUGAAAAUCGAGUAAACAGAGCGCAUAAGUAAUCAGAGUCAUGGACAAGGUAUCAGAGUCUUGGGUAUCAGAGUCAACUUAUAAUCACUUCAGAAGAAGUGAAAUGUAUUCCUUGUAUUUGCCCAGUGACAUAUCUAUGGUCAUGAAGGUGGAACUCUUAAAUUCUCCAAAAGAAAAAUAAAUCACACUAACACAUCUUACACAUCUCACACUAACACAUCUUACACAUCAAAAAGGGAAGGAAAGGAGAGGACUUUAGAGAGAUAAGUGAGAGAGAGUGAACAUCAUCUUCAUCUUAUCUUCAUCCUUCUUACCAAAAACUGAAAUCUUCAUCAUCUCUAAACACCACCAAGAAAUCAUCUUUUGUACUGAAAACGUUAUUCAAACCCCCCCCUUUCUACCGUUUUUCAUACCUUCAGGUUAAUGUGAUGUUUAUGGGUGUGACCUUGUACGAUGAAUUUUAUCUUAGGAAUGUAGUAUUUUGAUUAUUAAUAUCGAAGUUAUUUUCCAAGUGUUUCAUUCUUCGUUCGUCGGAGAAUUCGGCUGCACUACGGAAAACGGUCGAACCGACGAGUUUCGCCGAGAGCGCCCUUUCGUCAUCGAAUUAUUAUUUGAAUGUGAAAUAAAUAUUUUCCUUAUCAUUACGAUGAUGAUCAUCGUAAUGAUAAGGAAAAUAUUUAUUUCACAUUCAAAUAAUAAUUCGAUGACGAAAGGGCGCUCUCGGCGAAACUCGUCGGUUCGACCGUUUUCCGUAGUGCAGCCGAAUUCUCCGACGAACGAAGAAUGAAACACUUGGAAAAUAACUUCGAUAUUAAUAAUCAAAAUACUACAUUCCUAAGAUAAAAUUCAUCGUACAAGGUCACACCCAUAAACAUCACAUUAACCUGAAGGUAUGAAAAACGGUAGAAAGGGGGGGGUUUGAAUAACGUUUUCAGUACAAAACUUUCACCUUAAAGAUUUUGACAAAUCUUUCGAGAACUUAAGUGCAAAAGAUAAGAGAUAGAAAAGCACACAAGGAUUUUAUCCUGGUUCACUUGAUAAAUCACUCAAGCUACUCCAGUCCACCCGUUAAGGUGAUUUCUUCCUUCUUAGAAUGAAGGCAAUCCACUAAUCAGGUAAGAGUUACAACUGCACUUGAAACCUACAAGUGACUAACAAUUACACUGACUUAGCUCACACUAAGAUUCACUCUCUUAGUCUUCUCUAGGAUCCGAUCAACCUUGAUCUCCUAAAGGAACUAAACAAACUGUUUAUCAAAGAAUUGUUUACAAGAGAUUUGCUUCUAAAAAGCUAAUAGUAAACUCAAUGAAUUUCAGAUGAAAGAAAGCUUAGAAUAAUUUGAAUAUGUCUUGCGCGUAUGUAUUGCUUCUUUUUGCUUCUUUCAAUCUUCAGCCUCUAUAUAUACUCCAAGGAUUAGGGUUGAGCAAUGCAUGGGAAAUGCUACCGUUGGAGGGCAGUUCUGGAAAAUCCAGCUUCUGCUGUGGCUGAGAACGUUAGGUAGGUCGUCAGGAAGGUACACUUGCUUUUGUACUUGGAUAGCGACUUGACCUUUUAACCUAGGAGACUUCUGAUCAGAGGAAUGCUUCGUAUUGGAACUUGUGAAGCCGGUUGAUCAGAGUCAGAGGGAAAGCACAGAUCCUCUGACCAUUGUUUCUUCUGAUUCUGAACUCAGAGGGAAGAACAUGGCCUUCAGAGUUUCUUGCUUCUGGACUUCAGAGUUUCCACUAUUCAGCUUCUGGAUCUUCAGAGUCUUCUACACCAUCAGAACAUCUGAACCUUCAGUGUUUCUUGGUUAUCAGAACUUCUGGAUCUUCAG
rnacentral:lncRNA from 1 species